rnacentral:rRNA from 1 species
UACGUAGGGUGCGAGCGUUGUCCGGAAUUAUUGGGCGUAAAGGGCUCGUAGGCGGUUUGUCACGUCGGGAGUGAAAACUCGGGGCUCAACCCCGAGCCUGCUUCCGAUACGGGCAGACUAGAGGUAUGCAGGGGAGAAUGGAAUUCCUGGUGUAGCGGUGAAAUGCGCAGAUAUCAGGAGGAACACCGAUGGCGAAGGCAGGUCUCUGGGCCACUACUGACGCUGAGAAGCGAAAGCAUGGGGAGCGAACAGG